GUGAACGCUGGCGGUAGGCCUAACACAUGCCAGUCGAACGGCAGCACAGUAAGAGCUUGCUCUUACGGGUGGCGAGUGGCGGACGGGUGAGGAAUACAUCGGAAUCUACUUUUUCGUGGGGGAUAACGUAGGGAAACUUACGCUAAUACCGCAUACGACCUACGGGUGAAAGCAGGGGAUCUUCGGACCUUGCGCGAUUGAAUGAGCCGAUGUCGGAUUAGCUAGUUGGCGGGGUAAAGGCCCACCAAGGCGACGAUCCGUAGCUGGUCUGAGAGGAUGAUCAGCCACACUGGAACUGAGACACGGUCCAGACUCCUACGGGAGGCAGCAGUGGGGAAUAUUGGACAAUGGGCGCAAGCCUGAUCCAGCCAUACCGCGUGGGUGAAGAAGGCCUUCGGGUUGUAAAGCCCUUUUGUUGGGAAAGAAAAGCAGCAGGCUAAUACCCCGCUGUUCUGACGGUACCCAAAGAAUAAGCACCGGCUAACUUCGUG
rnacentral:rRNA from 1 species